GCAUUGUUUUGGCCCACUUGGCACCUGCAUAGAGCCAACUCCACGUUCCUGGCCCGGUUUCCCUCCCAGUCUCUUUGUUCUUUUGUAAAGCCGGUGUUCAAGUCUUGUUUGUGGCCUAAACAUCUAAGGUGUUUAGCCUUGUCUGAGGCUGCGGCUGUUUUGACAGUUGGACUUCAUCUGGGGAGCUCCCUGCAAUUCAAGCUUCCAGGGCUAGGCUAGGAAAGGUUUAAAAGGAUCAUCCAGACUUGAAACAUAUCGACCCAGUGGUUUUAAAACAUUGUCAUGCAGCAGCUGCAACUUACAUACUAGAGGCAGGAAAGCACCGAGCUGACAAGUCAACUCUAAGCACUUAUCUAGAAGACUGUAAAUUUGACAGAGAGCGAAUAGAACUGUUUUGCACGGAAUAUCAGAAUAAUAAGAAUUCCCUAGAAAUCCUACUGGGAAGUAUAGGCAGAUCGCUCCCUCAUAUAACGGAUGUUUCUUGGCGCUUGGAAUAUCAGAUAAAGACCAAUCAACUUCAUAGGAUG
rnacentral:sRNA from 1 species